rnacentral:rRNA from 1 species
GACGAACGCUGGCGGCGUGCUUAACACAUGCAAGUCGAACGGAAAGGCCCUGCUUUUGUGGGGUGCUCGAGUGGCGAACGGGUGAGUAACACGUGAGUAACCUGCCCUUGACUUUGGGAUAACUUCAGGAAACUGGGGCUACUACCGGAUAGGAGCUCCUGCUGCAUGGUGGGGGUUGGAAAGUUUAGGCGGUUGGGGAUGGACUCGCGGCUGAUCAGCUUGUUGGUGGGGUAGUGGCUUACCAAGGCUUUGACGGGUAGCCGGCCUGAGAGGGUGACCGGCCACAUUGGGACUGAGAUACGGCCCAGACUCCUACGGGAGGCAGCGGUGGAGAAUAUUGCACAAUGGGCGGGAGCCUGAUGCGGCAACGCCGCGUGCGGGAUGACGGCCUUCGGGUUGGAAACCGAUUUCGCCUGUGACGAAGCGUGAGUGACGGUAAUGGGUAAAGAAGCACCGGCUAACUACGUG